UGUGGUCAAGUUUCUAAGAGCAAACGGUGGAUGCCUUGGCAUCUGGAGCCGAAGAAGGACGUAGAAAUCUGCGAUAAGCCUCGGGGAGCUGAUAAUCGAGCUUCGAUCCGAGGAUUUCCGAAUGGGGAAACCCCGCCAGGCGACUUGUCGACCUGGUGACUCCCGCCUGAAUAUAUAGGGCGGGUAGAGGGAACGUGGGGAAGUGAAACAUCUCAGUACCCACAGGAAGAGAAAACAACAUGUGAUUCCGUGAGUAGUGGCGAGCGAAAACGGAUGAGGCUAAACCGAUCAUGUGUGAUAGCCGGCGGGCGUUGCAUGGUCGGGGUUGUGGGACACGUCGCUCAGUUCUGCCGGACUGGGACGGUUACAGCGCAUCAUAGUCGAACCGGUUUGAAAGCCGGGCCGUAGUGGGUGCCAGCCCCGUAGACGAAAUGGUGUUAUGGCCGGAUGUGUAUCCCAAGUAGCACGGGGCCCGAGAAAUCCCGUGUGAAUCUGUCAGGACCACCUGAUAAGCCUAAAUACUCCCAGAUGACCGAUAGCGGACAAGUACCGUGAGGGAAAGGUGAAAAGUACCCCGGGAGGGGAGUGAAAUAGUACCUGAAACCGUUUGCUUACAAACCGUCGGAGCCUCCUUUGUAGGGGUGACGGCGUGCCUUUUGAAGAAUGAGCCUGCGAGUUAGCGAUAUGUGGCGAGGUUAACCCGUGUGGGGUAGCCGUAGCGAAAGCGAGUCUGAAUAGGGCGAUUCAGUCGCAUGUCCUAGACCCGAAGCGAAGUGAUCUAUCCAUGGCCAGGUUGAAGCGACGGUAAGACGUCGUGGAGGACCGAACCCACUUCAGUUGAAAAUGGAGGGGAUGAGCUGUGGAUAGGGGUGAAAGGCCAAUCAAACUUCGUGAUAGCUGGUUCUCUCCGAAAUGCAUUUAGGUGCAGCGUUGCGUGUUUCUCGCCGGAGGUAGAGCUACUGGAUGGCCGAU
rnacentral:rRNA from 1 species